UACCAGUUGUAAGCUCCAUAAAUUGACUAGUAUGUCUAUCUCAAACUCGGUUUAGGCAUUAUCAUGCAGUAACGACAUCUUAGUUAUGGUGUCCAUGGUAAAGGUUUGCAUGCCAGGCAGCCGUGACUUAAUCCGCCAGCAUCCUCAUACCCUGCCUUUGCUCUCUCUCUCUCUCUCUCUCUCUAAAGCUACCGAUUGCAUCCUCCUCGUUCUUCGCACUCCAUAGCUCGCACAAGCUUUCCUGAGGCACGGCGCAUGACCUGGUGCUGCUUUUGUCAUACGCAGGCUGGUCUCUACCGUGGGGCUGACGGUGGAGCAGAUCGAGCUCCUCCUCCAGCUCGCCGGGGAGGGUCAGCUCAGGCUGGACCCGUCCGACGUCGCCGACCUCGUCCGGGAGGCGUACGGCUCGGCCUCCGGGUUCCUGGUCUCCGACAGGGGCCGCGGCCACUCCACCAAUGGCCAAGCCCUUGCCCCCGGGGGGGUGGUGAUCGAAAUGAGCCACGGCCGGCUCACGCCUCGGCCGAGGCCGGUCUACUCCCCGUCCACCGACGAGUACUAUGUGGGUGUCUGAGGCGGCGAUCUCUGGAUCGACGUCCUCAACUGGACGCAGGCGAACGGCGCCCAAGUCGUGGACGGACUACCUCUACCUGUCGGACGGCGGGACGCUCUCUAACGCCGGCAUAAGCGGGCAAGCUUUCCAUCACGGACCUCAGAUCAGUAAUGUCCAUGAGCUCGAUGUGGUCACAGGUCUCUUCUCCAAUCUCCAACCGCUAUUACCAAGAAAACAGCGUACCAGUCUUUUCUUCCCUUCAAUUCAAUUAGUUCAUUCAGGGAAGGGAGAACUGAUAACGUGUUCAGAUGAGAAGAACUCGGAGCUUUUCCAUGGAGUUCUUGGUGGACUGGGACAGUUCGGGAUCAUCACCAGGGCCAGGAUUGCACUGGAGCCAGGUCCCAAAAGGGGGUUAGGUAAGGUGGAUCCGAGUGCUGUACUUAAAUUUCACCACCUUCACCAGAGACCAGGAGCAGCUCAUCUCUCUCCAUUGGCGCAGAACCAAGCCAGAGAUUCGACUACGUCGAAGGCUUCGUCGUCGUCGACGACGGCCUGAUCAACAACCGGUGGUCGUCGUUCUUCUCCCCGAAGAACCCUGUCAAGAUAAGCUCCGUAGGAGCCACCGGCGGCGUGCAGUACUGCUUAGAGAUGGCCAAGAACUACGACGACUCCGCUGCCGACUCCAUUGAUGAGGUGGUGGAGGCACUCUGGGACAGCUGAGCUACAUACCGGCAUCGGUGUUCACCACCGACCUCCCCUACGUCGACUUCCUCGACCGCGUCCACGGGGCGGAGCUGCAGCUCCGCGCCAAGGGGAUGUGGGGGCUGCAGCUCCGUGCCAACGGGAUGUGGGAGCUGCCGCACCCGUGGCUCAACCUCUUCCUGCUGGCGUCACAUAUCGUGGACUACGACCUUGACAUCCUCCGCAAUAGCACCGGCGGACCUAUCCUCAUCUACCCCAUGAACAAGCACAAGUAAGGAGAAGAAGAAGACCGCAUGCCUUGUUUGGUUGCCCUGCCUUGCAUGCAUGCAUGCAACCCUAGCUAGCUCACUAAUGAAUGCACACGGUUAGACCACAUGGCUCAUGUUGAAACGGUGGCCAAAUCCAUGUUGAUCACAAUAUCAUGUUCUCCUCCAAUACACAACUCUUUCCUUACCAUGUUUUGUACUCCAGUAGGUCAGCCUAAUAUCCUCCCCACAUCAUAAAAGCAAAGAGAAGCUUCCAAUUCCCAUAUCGAAAACGUCCGUAGAUCAUCGUACGGUGAACAUGUGAAGGUUAGAUUUUCGUGUUUUUAUUUUGGGAUCCUCUCCAAACGUAUAAAAGUGACCGGAAGCACAUCACAAGACUAUCUGGUUGGGUGUAAAAUUGACAGUUCUUAUGAGAAUUGGAGAGGAUCCCAACCCUCGUUCCUUUCAUCUUCCGAAGGCUAUAAAAUAGAAAUUGUGGUUGGUCUAUUCCCAUCUAUCUCAAUCUUUGUUGUUCUUAACGUAAUGCCGAAGUUGUUGCUUUCAACAAAACCUAGAAAGGUUGCAAAGAAGGAAUCAUUGAAAAAGAUGGUCAUUGUAAUCACGGUGGUUGCCUUUUUUCUCCCACCAAAUGUCCACUGAGACCCUAUAAUACUCAGAUUGAUGAAUUCUUGCCCUAGAAGAAGUCAUCUUCAUGAUCAAGCCCUGGAAAUCGGUGCUUAUAAUCAAAAUCAUGAUGUUAAUUUGGAAAACUAAUUUGCAGGUGGGAUGAGAGGAACACAGUGGUGACGCCUGAUGAGGGCGAGUUCUACUUUGUUACCUUUCUACUAUCCCUCAUCACCCGACUCGACCCGGGUGGGCUCGUCAUUUUGGGCCGACGUGGGAUCGGUUCGUCCAACGAAAGGCCCAGUUCGACCCCAAGUGCAGCUU